GACGAACGCUGGCGGCGUGCUUAACACAUGCAAGUCGAACGGAAAGGCCCUGCUUUUGUGGGGUGCUCGAGUGGCGAACGGGUGAGUAACACGUGAGUAACCUGCCCUUGACUUUGGGAUAACUUCAGGAAACUGGGGCUAAUACCGGAUAGGAGCUCCUGCUGCAUGGUGGGGGUUGGAAAGUUUCGGCGGUUGGGGAUGGACUCGCGGCUUAUCAGCUUGUUGGUUGGGUAGUGGCUUACCAAGGCUUUGACGGGUAGCCGGCCUGAGAGGGUGACCGGCCACAUUGGGACUGAGAGACGGCCCAGACGCCUACGGGAGGCAGCAGUGGGGAAUAUUGCACAAUGGGCGGAAGCCUGAUGCAGCAACGCCGCGUGCGGGAUGACGGCCUUCGGGUUGUAAACCGCUUUCGCCUGUGACGAAGCGUGAGUGACGGUAAUGGGUAAAGAAGCACCGGCUAACUACGUG
rnacentral:rRNA from 1 species